UUGCAGAAUAAACUAUCUUCUCUCUCUCUCUCUCUCUCUCUCUGUGUGUGUGUGUGUGUGUGUGUGUGAGAGAGAGAGAGAGAGAGAGAGAGAGAGAGAGAGAGACAGUCCGG